rnacentral:lncRNA from 1 species
GAGCAGAAGGGCAACUGGAAUGUCUAUAUGAUUAUUCUCCAUAGACAGGCCAACGAUGUAUUCUGGAACCAGUGUAAGCAAUUCCAGUGUUCCCCUCUAGGACUCCACUUUAGGACUUUCACUUUACUGAAUACAGCAGCAGCUUACCAACAUAUGUAUUCCUUUGACUUGGAGCAGAAGGGCAACUGGAAUGUCUAUAUGAUUAUUCUCCAUAGACAGGCCAACGAUGUAUUCUGGAACCAGUGUAAGCCAUUCCAGUGUUCCCCUCUAGGACUCCACUUUAGGACUUUCACUUUACAGGAUAGAGCAACUCGAAUGUAAAAAUAUGAUCACUCCCAAUAGCUAAAACCUCGAGCUGGAUACAAGGGACACUGAUAAUUCAAUAGCAAAAGCCAUGUUUGCAUUAUGAAGGUGUAGAGUGAGUAAGAAAAAUCAAAGUGAGAUAAGAAGAAGAAAGAGUGCAGGGUGUUCUAUGAGUGAGGGCAAGGAAAGGUCUAAGUGAUCAAAUUGUAAUACUAGCGCCCCAACAACAAUAACACUAAGCAGCCAGAUUGUCACAGGCAGUAUGGUAUGCGCAUAAUAGGUGCAUUAUCAAGUUCCUAGAGAGGAAAUGCAAUAACCAAAAGUAAUUUGAGGGAAAAAAACUACUUAAGGAGAUUAGAGAUAGAAGCUGACCGUGAAACUAGAAGCCAUUUGUAGGACUAGAGAUCCUCGAAACCAUGAUCAAACUAAUUAGGACCCAGGCGACAUUUCAAGAGGACUACCAGCAACAUCGAUCGAAUCAGAUGUGAGAAUACAGUUUCGGAGGAAACAUCACGCCUCCCAACUUGAUUUAAUUGGAACCGAAUACCGCCAUAAAUCAUCCAACUCGCAGAAUCCAUCGGUGAUCACGUUCCACGAACCAGUUAGGGUUCCGGCGACCUUUCAAGAAGACAACCACCAAUAACGAUCGGAUAAUCAGUGAGACUACGGUCCAAUUAGGACUCCGAAGACCUUCCAUCGCGACAAGGACAACCACCAUCAGCGAUAGAUUAAGACUUGAGGCUACAGUCGAAUUGGGCUCCGGCGACCUCUAAGAGGAAUAACACCAACAACGAUCGCAUAAGAUGUUAGACUAAGGUCCAAUUAGAGCUCCGACAACCUUUCAAGAUGACAACCACCAACAACAAUCGAAUAAGAAGCAAGACUACGGUUCGUAGAGAUCAGAAAAAAAGUUAAAAUCGCAAAACGAAAACCGCCAAUACUUACAGUGAAACAGAAGAUCUCCGGCGUCAUAACACCGGAAGAUCAAUCGCCGCAAAAUUGGAACUCGAAACUCGAAGAACGGAAUAAGAGUAGAACAAGACUUGCUCGAAUCUAAAUUGGCAGAACGGUUACCUCUUGGUAUAUAGGUGUGGGGCGAGUCGGUUUUCUGGCCGUUGGAGAGAAUACGCUUUUUUAACCGUUGAUCUAUUUUCUUGCCAGCUAGGCCGGUUUGUUG